GGCCUCGUGGCCCAAUGGCAAGGCGUCUGACUACGAGAGAUUUCACUUAUUCAGUUAAAUCUUGAAGCAAUCAGGAGAUUCUGGGUUCGACCCCCAGCGAGGUCA
rnacentral:tRNA from 1 species